GAUGAACGCUCGCUACAGGCUUAACACAUGCAAGUCGCGGGGCAGCAUGGGGGUUGCUUGCAAUCCCCGAUGGCGACCGGCGCACGGGUGAGUAACGCGUAUCCAACCUGCCCUUCACCACGGGAUAACCCGGCGAAAGUCGGACUAAUACCGUAUGUUGUCCAUUGACGGCAUCCGAUUUGGACGAAAGGCUUGGCGGUGAGGGAUGGGGAUGCGUCCGAUUAGCCAGACGGCGGGGUAACGGCCCACCGUGGCUACGAUCGGUAGGGGUUCUGAGAGGAAGGUCCCCCUCACUGGAACUGAGACACGGUCCAGACUCCUACGGGAGGCAGCAGUGAGGAAUAUUGGUCAAUGGGCGUAAGCCUGAACCAGCCAAGUAGCGUGCAGGAUGACGGCCCUAUGGGUUGUAAACUGCUUUUAUGCGGGGAUAAAGUGGCCCACGGGUGGGCUUUUGCAGGUACCGCAUGAAUAAGGACCGGCUAAUUCCGUG
rnacentral:rRNA from 1 species